GCCAGCAUAGUGUAGUGGUUUGAGUGUCAGACUGCAACUCUGAAGACCAGCAGGGUUCAACUCCCUGCUUGAC